CGCGUAGGCGGGAUGGCAAGUCGGUCGUGAAAUCCCUCGGCUCAACUGAGGAUCGUCGAUCGAUACUGCCGUUCUUGAGGAUUGCAGAGGAGACUGGAAUUCCCGGUGUAGCGGUGAAAUGUGUAGAGAUCGGGAGGAACACCGGUGGCGAAGGCGGGUCUCUGGGCAAUUCCUGACGCUGAGGCGCGAAAGCGUGGGAGCAAACG
rnacentral:rRNA from 1 species